rnacentral:rRNA from 1 species
GACGAACGCUGGCGGCGUGCUUAACACAUGCAAGUCGAACGGAAAGGCCCUGCUUUUGUGGGGUGCUCGAGUGGCGAACGGGUGAGUAACACGUGAGUAACCUGCCCUUGACUUUGGGAUAACUUCAGGAAACUGGGGCUAAUACCGGAUAGGAGCUCCUGCUGCAUGGUGGGGGUUGGAAAGUUUCGGCGGUGGGGGAUGGACUAGCGGCUUAUCAGCUUGUUGGUGGGGUAGUGGCUUACCAAGGCUUUGACGGGUAGCCGGCCUGAGAGGGUGACCGGCCACAUUGGGACUGAGAUACGGCAGAGAGUCCUACGGGAGGCAGCAGUGGGGAAUAUUGCACAAUGGGCGGAAGCCUGAUGCAGCAACGCCGCGUGCGGGAUUACGGCCUUCGGGUGGUAAACCGCUUUCGCCUGUGACGAUGCGUGAGUGACGGUAAUGGGUAAAGAAGCACCGGCUAACUACGUG